UACAGAGGUGGCAAGCGUUGUUCGGAAUUACUGGGCGUAAAGCGCGUGUAGGCGGCUAAGUAAGUCGGGCGUGAAAUCCCACGGCUCAACCGUGGAAGUGCACUCGAAACUGCAUAGCUAGAGUCCUGGAGAGGAAAGUGGAAUUCCUGGUGUAGCGGUGAAAUGCGUAGAUAUCAGGAGGAACACCGGUGGUGUAGACGGCUUUCUGGACCGUAACUGACGCUGAGACACGAAAGCGUGGGUAGCAAACAGG
rnacentral:rRNA from 1 species